UUUACGCCAUUGAAUUUUUUAAACAUGUUUGACCAUUCGUCUUAUUCAAAAAAUUUAAGUAACUAUUAAUUCUUUUUCUAUCAUUUGAUUGAUUGUUAAAUAUACUUUUAUGUAUGCAUAUAGUUUUACAUAUUUCACAAAAGUUUUUGAAUAAGACGAAUGGUCAAACAUGUUUAAAAAAGUCAACGGCAUCAAAUAUU
rnacentral:pre_miRNA from 1 species